AUGCUCAAAAUUCUCCAAGCCAGGCUUCAGCAAUAUGUGAACUGUAAACUUCUAGAUGUUCAAAAUGGUUUUGCAAAAGGCAGAGGAACCAGAGAUCAAAUUGCCAACAUCCACUGGAUCAUCGAAAAAGCAAGAGAGUUCCAGAAAAACAUCUAUUUCUGCCUUAUUGACUAUGCUGUGGAUCACAAUAAACUGUGGAAAAUUCUGAAAGAGAUGGGAAUACCAGACCACCUGACCUGUCUUUUGAGAAACCUAUAUGCAGGUCAGGAAGCAACAGUUAGAACUGGACAUGGAACAACAGACUGGCUCCAAAUAGGAAAAGGAGUACAUCAAGGCUGUAUAUUGUCACCCUGCUUAUUUAACUUAUAUGCAGAGUACAUCAUGAGAAAGGCUGGGCUGGAAGAAGCACAAGCUGUAAUCAAGAUUUCCGGGAGAAAUAUCAAUCACUUCAGAUAUGCAGAUGACACCACCCUUAUGGCAGAAAGUGAAGAGGAACUAAAAAGCCUCUUGAUGAAAGUGAAAGAGGAGAGUGAAAAAGUUGGCUUAAAGCUCAACAUUCAGAAAACGAAGGUCAUGGCAUCUGGUCCCAUCACUUCAUGGGAAAUAGGUGGGGAAACAGUGAGAACAGUGUCAGACUUUAUUUUGGGGGGCUCCAAAAUCACUGCAGGUGGUGAUUGCAGCCAAGAAAUUAAAAGAUGCUUACUCCUUGGAAGGAAAGUGAUGACCAACCUAGAUAGCAUAUUGAAAAGCAGAGACAUUACUUUGCCAACAAAGGUCCAUCUAGUCAAGGCUAUGGUUUUUCCAGUGGUCAUGUAUGGAUGUGAGAGUUGGACUGUGAAGAAAGCUGAGCACCGAAGAACUGAUGCUUUUGAACUGCAGUGUUGGAGAAGACUCUUGCGAGUCCCUCGGACUGCAAGGAGAUCCAACCAGUCCAUCCUAGAGGAGACCAGUGCUGGGUGUUCAUUGGAAGGACUGAUGCUGAGACUGAAACUCCAAUACUUUGGCCAUGUCAUGCGAAGAGUUAUCUCAUUGGAAAAGACCCUGAUGCUGGGAGGGAUUGGGGGCACGAGGAGAAGGGGACGACAGAGGAUGAGAUGA
rnacentral:lncRNA from 1 species